UGGUGGAGUGAUUUGUCUGGUUAAUUCCGAUAACGAACGAGACUCUGACCUGCUAAAUAGUAUGCCGGUAUUGGUACGCAGCAAUGUGUUCCCUCGCCGGCACUGACUUCUUAGAGGGAUUCGCAGUAUUCAAACUGCACGAGAUAGAGCAAUAACA
rnacentral:rRNA from 1 species